GACCAGAGGCCUCAAGCUGUUAGGCGGAAUCCACUGGGCUUAAAGCGUGUGUAGGCGGAUCGUUAAGUGUCUUGUGAAAUCCCACGGCUCACCCGUGGAACUGCUGGGCAUACUGGCGAUCUUGGGCCAACUAGGGGCAACUGGAACAAGCGGUGGAGCGGUGAAAUGCGUAGAUAUCGCUUGGAACGCCAAAGGUGAAAACAGGUUGCUGGGGUUGUGCCGACGCUGAGACACGAAAGCCCAGGGGAGCAAAACGGGG
rnacentral:rRNA from 1 species